rnacentral:tRNA from 3 species
GGCCAGGUAGCUCAGUCGGUAGAGCAGAGGACUGAAAAUCCUCGUGUCGGUGGUUCAAUUCCACCCCUGGCCACCA